GCAAUGGNGGAAACCUGACGCANCGACGCCGCGUGCGGGAAGAAGGCCUUCGGGUCGUAAACCGCUGUCAGGAGGGAAGAAACUGUUAGGGGUAUAAUACGCCCUUCACUGGACGGUACCUCCAAAGGAAGCACCGGCUAACUCCGUGCCAGCAGCCGCGGUAAUACGGAGGGUGCGAGCGUUAAUCGGAAUCACUGGGCGUAAAGCGCACGUAGGCGGCGCAUCAAGUCAGGCGUGAAAGCCCUCGGCUCAACCGGGGAAUUGCGUUUGAAACUGGUGCGCUGGAGUCUCGGAGAGGUUGGCGGAAUUCCAGGUGUAGGAGUGAAAUCCGUAGAUAUCUGGAGGAACACCGGUGGCGAAGGCGGCCAACUGGACGAGAACUGACGCUGAGGUGCGAAAGCGUGGGUAGCAAACAGGAUUAGAUACCCUGGUAGUCCACGCUGUAAACGAUGGAUAUUAGGUGUCGGGGGUUACCUUCGGUGCCGCAGUUAACGCGUUAAAUAUCCCGCCUGGGGAGUACGGUCGCAAGGCUGAAACUCAAAGGAAUUUGACGGG
rnacentral:rRNA from 1 species